rnacentral:misc_RNA from 1 species
UGGUUCUGGCAUCGAUGAAGAACGCAGCGAAAUGCGAUAAGUAAUGUGAAUUGCAGAAUUCAGUGAAUCAUCGAAUCUUUGAACGCACAUUGCGCCCGCUAGUAUUCUGGCGGGCAUGCCUGUUCGAGCGUCAUUUCAACCCUCGGGCCCCGCUUUCUUGCGGGCUCCGGCGUUGGGGACCGGUCGGUAUCGACCGCCCCCGAAACACAGUGGCGGUCCCGCCGCGGCCUUCUCUGCGUAGUAGCAUACACCUCGCAGUGGAGAGCGGCGCGGCCACGCCGUUAAAAAAACGAACUUCUGAAGGUUGACCUCGGAUCAGGUAGGAAUACCCGCUGA